rnacentral:rRNA from 1 species
AUUGAACGCUGGCGGCAUGCUUUACACAUGCAAGUCGAACGGUAACAGGCCUUCGGGUGCUGACGAGUGGCGAACGGGUGAGUAAUGCAUCGGAACGUGCCCAGAGGUGGGGGAUAACGCAGCGAAAGCUGUGCUAAUACCGCAUGUGAUCUGAGGAUGAAAGCGGGGGACCAAGCAGCAAUGUUUGGCCUCGCGCCUCUGGAGCGGCCGAUGUCAGAUUAGGUAGUUGGCGGGGUAAAGGCCUACCAAGCCGACGAUCUGUAGCUGGUCUGAGAGGACGACCAGCCACACUGGGACUGAGACACGGCCCAGACUCCUACGGGAGGCAGCAGUGGGGAAUUUUGGACAAUGGGCGCAAGCCUGAUCCAGCAAUGCCGCGUGCGGGAAGAAGGCCUUCGGGUUGUAAACCGCUUUUGUACGGAACGAAAAGGCUCUGGCUAAUACCUGGGGCUGAUGACGGUACCGUAAGAAUAAGCACCGGCUAACUACGUG